rnacentral:rRNA from 1 species
GAUGAACGCUGGCGGCGUGCUUAACACAUGCAAGUCGAACGGGAAUUACUUUAUUGAAACUUCGGUCGAUUUAAUUUAAUUCUAGUGGCGGAUGGGUGAGUAACGCGUGGGUAACCUGCCUUGUACAGGGGGAUAACAGUCAGAAAUGACUGCUAAUACCGCAUAAGCGCACAGGACCGCAUGGUCCAGUGUGAAAAACUCCGGUGGUAUAAGAUGGACCCGCGUUGGAUUAGCUGGUUGGUGGGGUAACGGCCUACCAAGGCGACGAUCCAUAGCCGGCCUGAGAGGGUGAACGGCCACAUUGGGACUGAGACACGGCCCAGACUCCUACGGGAGGCAGCAGUGGGGAAUAUUGCACAAUGGGGGAAACCCUGAUGCAGCGACGCCGCGUGAAGGAAGAAGUAUCUCGGUAUGUAAACUUCUAUCAGCAGGGAAGAAAAUGACGG